UUUCAAAUUCCUUCUAUUAAGCAAACCAGACGGCACCAUUUUCUUAUUUUUUUACAUUUACGGAUAGCCAGGGACACACUCCCAACAUUCAGACAUAAUUUACGGAUAGCCAGGGGCACACUCCCAACAUUCAGACAUCAUUUACGGAUAGCCAGGGGCACACUCCCAACAUUCAGACAUCAUUUACGGAUAGCCAGGGGCACACUCCCAACAUUCAGACAUCAUUUACGGAUAGCCAGGGGCAGACUCCCAACAUUCAGACAUCAUUUACGGAUAGCCAGGGGCACACUCCCAACAUUCAGACAUCAUUUACGGAUAGCCAGGGGCACACUCCCAACAUUCAGACAUCAUUUACGGAUAGCCAGGGGCACACUCCCAACAUUCAGACAUCAUUUACGGAUAGCCAGGGGCACACUCCCAACAUUCAGACAUCAUUUACGGAUAGCCAGGGGCACACUCCCAACAUUCAGACAUCAUUUACGGAUAGCCAGGGGCACACUCCCAACAUUCAGACAUCAUUUACGGAUAGCCAGGGGCACACUCCCAACAUUCAGACAUCAUUUACGGAUAGCCAGGGGCACACUCCCAACAUUCAGACAUCAUUUACGGAUAGCCAGGGGCACACUCCCAACAUUCAGACAUCAUUUACGGAUAGCCAGGGGCACACUCCCAACAUUCAGACAUCAUUUACGGAUAGCCAGGGGCACACUCCCAACAUUCAGACAUCAUUUACGGAUAGCCAGGGGCACACUCCCAACAUUCAGACAUCAUUUACGGAUAGCCAGGGGCACACUCCCAACAUUCAGACAUCAUUUACGGAUAGCCAGGGGCACACUCCCAACAUUCAGACAUCAUUUACGGAUAGCCAGGGGCACACUCCCAACAUUCAGACAUCAUUUACGGAUAGCCAGGGGCACACUCCCAACAUUCAGACAUCAUUUACGGAUAGCCAGGGGCACACUCCCAACAUUCAGACAUCAUUUACGGAUAGCCAGGGGCACACUCCCAACAUUCAGACAUCAUUUACGGAUAGCCAGGGGCACACUCCCAACAUUCAGACAUCAUUUACGGAUAGCCAGGGGCACACUCCCAACAUUCAGACAUCAU
rnacentral:lncRNA from 1 species